rnacentral:rRNA from 1 species
CAGACUUGACAUCCUGUGAACCUCUUAGAAAUAAGAGGGUGCCUUCGGGAGCACAGAGACAGGUGCUGCAUGGCUGUCGUCAGCUCGUGUCGUGAGAUGUUCGGUUAAGUCCGGCAACGAGCGCAACCCUUGUCUUCAGUUGCCAGCACGUAAAGGUGGGAACUCUGAAGAGACUGCCCCGGUUAACGGGGAGGAAGGUGGGGAUGACGUCAAGUCCUCAUGGCCCUUAUGUCUGGGGCUACACACGUGCUACAAUGGUAUGUACAAAGGGUCGCAAUACCGCGAGGUGGAGCUAAUCCCAGAAAACCAUCCUCAGUUCGGAUUGCAGUCUGCAACUCGACUGCAUGAAGCCGGAAUCGCUAGUAAUCGUGGAUCAGCACGCCACGGUGAAUACGUUCCCGGGCCU